CCUCCCUCCCUGCUUUUCAACGGAAAACUUAAUGCGUUCCCUUGUGGGAGGGGUGAGGCGAAAAAGCUUUUAACCUCCCCGCCAUAAACUUUACUCGGCUUCCUGUGUGUGGAAACAUUUGCACAGCACAGCCCCUCCCUCCCCCCGCAUCUGUCUUCAGAGCUCCCCUGUCUCAUGGGCACACUGCUCCCGCGGUCUGGUUUGCUGGGGAGCCUGUUUCAAACGAAUAAGCGGGUUCUUUCUCUUGCCCUGUGCAACCUGCCCCAUGAGCGCGCGCGCGCGCGCGCACACACACACACACACCGUGUAUUAUCCCCCAUGCUUUCUCCUCCCUCUUCACGUGCAAUGCCUCUGAGUGUGCAAUGCUUGUCUGCUCGGGAGCGCAGCGUCCUUCACAGCGGAUUGGUUCCUCUUUCGGAGCAGAGAAGGCUGACAUAUCUUCCUGUGUUCAUUGUGUGAGCUGCUCUUCAACAAAUUAAAAAUCGUCCAGGACCAGGCAGGAUAUAACUGCAAUCUAUGUGCUUUCAAGAACACACAGAGCAACCAAAGCAAACAUUUGUGAAACCCACUGGAAAAGUGCUACUCUCCAUUUGGAUGAUGACCCACUAUUGCUGUCAGGUCCUUGGCACCAUUCCAUCUGUGCUCCAGCUAUCCCUGGCUGUUGGAACAUCCCUGGCUGUUGGAUAUAAUUUGCAGCAUCCUUGAGGGUGUCCUAAAUUAUGAUGGUGAUCAGGAUGGUACCCAGCCAGCCCCAGGAUCACUGAUAUGCAAAGAGGACCAGAUACUGCAUCAAAGUGAAAGCAUGGAAAUAUGUAUGCACAGAGGGGAGUCAUAUGCAGGUGAGCAAGUAGAUGGCCAGAAGCUAUUACAAUAUGCAUUGAAAUUCGUCUGUUUUUCCCCAAGUCUAUUCUAGAAUCCUUCAUUCUGUCUUUCAUCCUCACUCUCUCUGUUACCCCUAUCCUCCUUCUUUCACGCUAAUGGAUUAUUUGACUGUCCUUGUUUUAUAGAGACAAACCCCUCUCCACCAAUGAGCUAGUUUUUUGGUCCCAAAUAUCUUUACAACCAACUGUUAAACUUUGGUUUUUUGUUUUCUUUCAUUUUCUUCUGUUCUUCUUUUAUUUCCUUUUCAAAGUGAUUAGGGCUUGAUCUCAUUGACUUCAACAGGCUUUGGAUCAGGCCUUUAAUGCUAAUAUCAUGUUUCUUUUCUUAGUUUUCUUUAAAAAAAACCCUGAAAUUAAUGCAAAAUUCAUCCCAGGGUUCCCCAGAGGGUUUUCUGAUUUUGAAAAAUAACAUCUGUGUUCUGUCCAGUUACUUUAGCAAUCUGUCUUCCUUCCUGAAAGUCAAAAUCAGUUCUUAUCUGGGAGAGGGAAGAAGUAGUUUUCUAAAAGGAAUCUAAGGUCAAAAGAAAAUUCUCAGUGUGUAUAAGAAAUAUAUUCUUCUUCUGUGCAUUUCAGUGGACAAAAGAAAUCUUUGACUAACUCUAAUGUUGGAAGCUCCAUGAAAUUAAAAAGGAGGAACAUUUGAAUCUUUUCCCUUUAGCAGUGAAUAUUUCACACAGCACUAAUAUAUAGCUUGCAAAUAGAAAAUUGCUGCAACAUUUCUGAUGACCAGUUCUCUGAGAAGCAGAGAAAGGAAGGGAUCACCGAUUCAAUUCUUUUUCUUAUGUGUUAUGAAAAAUCAGGGUUUUGCUUGGAGGGAGGCAACAUAAUUUUCCUUCUGUGUUCUAUAUCCUCCAGUAAUUGUGCUGGUAUAUAUUAUGACGUGUAUACCUUACAUUUGUCCUAUUUUUCACUGCUUCAGAGUUGGUAACCCUAUGUAAUUUCUUUCUUUCUUUCUUUCUUUCUUUCUUUCUUUCUUUCUUAAUACUAAAUGAACCCUGUAUUUAUGGCUUCAGCUCUGGAAGUUGACUCAUAUGCUCACACUCUAAUGGAGUCAGAAAGUAGUAUUUUCCUUAGUAUUUGACUUUGAAAAAGACAAAAAGGAAUUUGUUGCAUGCAGGAAGUUUGCAGCAGCCACAAAAGACAAUCAUCGUGUUUGUCUCAUUAUGUACCUAAGAAGCUUUCCAAAAAAAGUAAAUAUUACCUAAACAGUAUUCUUCAUAAUCUAAAAUCAGGUACUAAUGGCAUUUUUGAUUACAACUGGCAGAGUAGGCAAACUCUGUGUUGCUGGUUUUAUUGUGAGGUUAUCUUUUUUUGGGGGGGUCAUUAUCUUGGGCAAGAGCCUUUUCUGUUUUAUCACUGCAGUUUAAAGUAAGAGUGCUACUAACUCUGCUCACUUAGGUACUGAGGGAUGACAUCAGGUGAAGUGAAUUCUGGUGCCAGCACUGCUAAUUCUUGUUACUCAAGACCUCUCUCUUUUUAGUGGCAUGAAGCUCAAAACCAGGACUAAAAUGGCAUUCACAAUGGCCACUAUUUUUUCUUUAAGAUGAAUAUAACUCUAGGGCAAAAGUGUUGGGACUCACUGAUGACAGAAUUAGCAAAUAAUAGCAAAAUUCGGCCCUGUCUGGAGAAGAUGGUGCAGAGAACGUCUUCCUUUCAAUUCACCUCUAAGAGAACAGGACUAGGCAUGAUUUAGUGCUACCCCUUGAGUACGAGGCCUGACUAAGGUACUUUGCAAUGCUGAGGGGACAUAUACCUCUUGACAAGACCACUGACCCUCCUGCACACAUGUUGCCACCAUUCAACAAAUGUUGGCAUUUUAUCAAGCACUCUGCACAUUUUAUCAAGCAGCAAUAGGGGACAUUGUAGAGUGAGCUCCCCUAAACUCCUGAGCCAUGUUACCCUGCACAAGCAGCAUGGCUCAGGACCCCAUCACUUAACUUCUAACACUCUGCUUCACCUCAAUUCAUGUCAUGAGGGUACAAGAGCAACUUUUGGCCUAAAUGAGUUAGUUAUGCAGUUUUCAUUUAAACAUGUAAGGUCAGAUACCAUUCCUAGUUAUUCUCCAGAAAAUAUCAUAGCAUAUCAAAUAUCAUAUUGCCUCUUUAUAAAUCCAUGGUACACCCACAUCUUGAAUACUGUAUGCAGAUGUGG